rnacentral:pre_miRNA from 1 species
CUUGGGGCGGGGGUCCCUCAACCUGGAUUGCCUGAGAGCGCAGGCCAGGCCGAGGGACCCCCACCAGUGCACG